UACGUAGAGCGCAAGCGUUGUCCGGAAUUAUUGGGCGUAAAGAGCUCGUAGGCGGCCUGUUGCGUCCGCUGUGAAAUCCCGGGGCUUAACCCCGGGCUUGCAGUGGAUACGGGCAGGCUGGAGGCAGGCAGGGGAGAACGGAAUUCCCGGUGUAGCGGUGAAAUGCGCAGAUAUCGGGAGGAACACCGGUGGCGAAGGCGGGUCUCUGGGCCAUUACUGACGCUGAGGAGCGAAAGCGUGGGGAGCGAACAGG
rnacentral:rRNA from 1 species